AAAUAGGUUGGUUCUGUUCUUUGUCUCUCUCGAAACCUCUCUGUCUUCGACGAUUCCAUCAUCGUAACGGUUUUGUUCUUUCGAUUCGUCUCCAUCAAGCAAUCCUCUCUCUCUCUCUCUCUCUCUCUCUCUCAGCAUCGCAGAGGCUACGAACGUUCGUGAGAUUGAGAGCGACAUCGAAAGGGACGCAUGGAGAGAGAUUAGACUGGGGUUAUGACCGCCGAGCUUAGAAGUUUUCUGGAGUUGAAUCUUCCUAAGGUCAAAGAAGGCAAGAAACCCAAGUUCAGCUUAGGAACCUCUGAGCCUAAACUCGGUUCCCACAUAUUGGAAGCCACCAAAAUCCCCUGCCAGAGCAAUGAGUUCGUUCUUGAGCUUCUCCGUGGUGUGCGUCUGCAUUUUGACAGCAUGGUGAUCUGGAAAAGUCUUUUCCUUGACCUCGUCUAAAGACAAGGGAGCUGAGUCAGAUGCCGAGUUCUAGAGUCAGAUGAUGAUGCUCAGGAAUGGUUUUGUAAUGGGAAGGACAACGGAUUCGGUUGAUCAUUUCCACAACUUGAGGCUUGAUGUUGAUAGUAUGUCAUACGAGGUUGGUUUAAUUGAAGGGCGAGUUGGUGUCCAUCAUCUGGAUGAUUCUCAACAGAACAAGAACUUCACAUUCAAAUGUCAACAGAGAUGGGAAUGAGAUCUAUUCUAUCAACGCUCUGAACUUCCACCCGAGGAUUUCGACGAAGCGAUUUUAUACCAAAGAAAAAACCUGAUCAGUGCGAAUCAAGGACGUCGGUGCCCAAAACUCACAGGAGUGGGAGCUUCCACAGUGUUCACAAGAUAUUGUUGGGAGUACUUUAACCUUCCAAUUGAACCUAUCCCACUUCAACUUGACUGCAAAGCAUCAGAGCUUCACUGUUUCCCACAUUUAGGAACCGAUCAGCGUCCACCGCAGUCUAAUUUGGAGGUUCUGGGUGGGAAUAACAAUCUGAGAGAUGAUAUGUAAGGUGCUGGAGCAGUCAAAAAGAGCAACGUUUCUGGUGUUAAAAUAACCUAUGUGGAUCAUGGUACCUGUGUUGGCGAUGAAGCGGUUGAAGGUGGACUAGCUGAUGCAACUGCUUCAGGUCACAACUCUGUUAAUUGAAGGGAGAGGAGAGGAGUCACCAGUGAAGGAAGAUGGGUGCUCAGGAAAGAAGGCACCAAUCGAUUGACAUCGAAAGAGCAAGGGGAACCAAAGUUACAAGACACGAUGAUUUUUCGUUGCAUUUCCAGACAUUAUCAUAUCAAGUCCGAUUACUUUAAAAAAUUUAUAUCAUUGGUUUCCUUGGGUUUUUAAACUCCACCAUAUCAGACAUUUUCAGUUAUAAAAUAAGGUGUCCUGUUUGCCAAAAA